UUGUGUUCUUCACUAGAUAUUGUUUCAGUAGAUAUUUGAAUACUACUAUAAAUCUGGUUAUCAAUCUCAUUUUGUUUCGUUCUUUUUAUGUCAUCUUCCAACUCUAUUUCGUUCUGAGUUGAACUUGAUGUAGUGUUUUGUUUAUUUGUGACAAUAAAUCUAUCUAAAGCACCUUUUUGAGAUUGAAUGAGUUUUUUGAUUUUUCUUUUCUUUUU
rnacentral:lncRNA from 1 species